rnacentral:rRNA from 1 species
AUGGAGCGGAUAUGGGGACGCCCGAACACGCCCGCCACGUCAGACCCGUCCCAUGUUGGCCCACCCAACCCCACAUAUAUUCGCUCCAUCCGCUCGUCGGACCAAACCCUAGCCACUUCACUCCACUCCCCUCCGCCACCCGAGCUCACCUCCGCGGUUUCCGGCCUUCUCUGGCAUGGCAGGCAGCGGACCGGACUCCGACCAGUCCAGAUCCGUCGACUGGGGUGUCAUCCCGUGCGGGUUGGAGGAGGCAAUGGCAGUCCACGUUGCACUCCACCGCUCCCGGGAGGACAGCGCCCGACCGACGGACGGAUCUGUCCGCUGCGACUCCAUAGCGUCAGCUCAACGGGCGCUUGGGUCCUCUGGGGUUGGAUCCUCGCAGUCCCGACAGCCGGAACCCCUCUCCUUUCCUAUCACCAGUCGGGCAGACUAUGA